UACGUAGGGGGCAAGCGUUGUCCGGAAUCAUUGGGCGUAAAGAGCGUGUAGGCGGCUCGAUAAGUCUGCUGUGAAAGUCCAGGGCUCAACCCUGGAAGGCCGGUGGAAACUGUCGGGCUAGAGUCCGGAAGAGGCGAGUGGAAUUCCCGGUGUAGCGGUGAAAUGCGCAGAUAUCGGGAGGAACACCGGUGGCGAAGGCGGCGAUCUGGGUCGAUACUGACGCUGAGGUGCGAAAGCGUGGGGAGCAAACAGG
rnacentral:rRNA from 1 species